UGGAGAACAAAAAAAUCAGAGAGAGGAAGCAGAAAUAGAGGUAUCUUUUUGCGAGAUCUCGCAAAACUUUCUCGCAAAAGUCACAUUAAUGUUAUUGGAUGUUUGCUUUUCAGAUUAGCUCUUCUGUGAUUAGCUACCAGUCUCCAUCGCAGUCACAAACAACGGCGAUCAUAUUUGAGAAGACAGCCAAAUUGAAGGAGCUGAACGGAGGUGCACCUCAGGAGCACAAGCUCUCUGAAGAAAUUCUGGAAAGUCUUGAGAGUCUGCUGUUGUCGGUGUCUGGAGCCAACUCCUCUGAGCCUCCACUGAUCAUCCAACAGAUCAACCUGCUGUGGAAGGCCUCUCACUGGCCUGAUGGUAAUGAACAUGUAUGGUGAUCUGGUCAUGGACUCUGUGCCAGAGAAGAAAUCGCCUCCAGCUCUUUGUUCAGAUGUCUUCCAGAGACCAUUGGCAUCAAGUUGGACUCUGACCAUCACUGUAACCGAGGACUUUAUGCAACACGCUCGCUCACAUCAUGUUUUAUCAGAUUCUUUUAACAGUGUACCAUUUUGAAAGUCGCAUCAUAUAAAGGCCUAAAUUGUGCUUUGUAAGUGCCUGCAAAAUACUGUCGAACACUUUACUGGGAGUAUCGUGAGAUGGUGCAGUGAAAACGCUGUAAACUGACUGAUGCAUGACUGAAAAAGCAUUUCUCUCCUUAAUGUAAUAACUGUUUUCAGGUAAGCCUUUUUACUGUCCAGUACAGUAUGUCACAGUGUAACGGCACAAAUCUGGUUGUCACACAGGGCUAAAAUAUAAGAUUUGAAUCUGUAUUAGCUAAAAUUUACAUUAUUCUGAUGUUUUUUGUUUUCCUUCACAGACAUGUACUGUGUAUUCAUAACUCUAUAGCGCGCUACUGCUGAAAGCCAUGAAUUAGCAUUUCUUUGAGAAAGAUCUUUAAGCUUUGCACCAGACCCAGUAUUUGUAUUUUACACUACAUAUACUUGUUUUGAUUUUUCUUUGUAAAGCGACACAUUUGAUCUAUAUAAUUUUAUUUUCGUACUCUAUACUUCCGCUUUGCAUGAUUUACUAACAUUUAAAAAGGUGCAAAAAAUGAAAUAGUUAUAUCCAUUAAAACUUUUUUGUGUGUGUGUUUGUUUAUGUUUUUAAAAGGUUUGAAGGAUGUAUUUUAGUGAGGGUCAUCAAACCUUGUUUAAAAUGGUGUAUUUAUAAUAAAAUGGUGACAAGGAAUUUCAUUGGAACACCUUACACUAUGUACAUAAACAUGGAAAUGAAUGUUUUCUCUCGGGGUUUUUUUUUGUAAUUUUGACACGUCAUUCAUAAUCUGAUAAGAAUGGCUCACAUAUCACAUAAUAGAUGAAUCUGACUUCACAUGUUAAUUUGGAAAAACUAUACUCUUAAGGGCAACACAUUUUUAAUUUUGUCUGUCAGUAUCAGUUAUGUAUUACUGACUUUGCAUUAGAUCAACUGAUGUACUACUACAGAUGUUGCUGUAAACAGAAUUUGUGCCUCUCUUUUUAGUUUCCAGUUAAUUCUUUAGUAAGGCUGUAGUUUAACAUUCCUCCAUUGACGUUUGUUUCCACUUUUAUUCUUUCGAUAUCGUCAGAUAUGCUAACAUGGAGCAUAUUUGUACUUGUAUUCUGUCUGCAACAGAUUUCAGAAAAUUAUGUGUUUAAAAAAUG